rnacentral:rRNA from 1 species
UACGUAGGCAGCGAGCGUUGUUCGGAGUUACUGGGCGUAAAGAGUGCGUAGGCGGUUUUCUAAGUUUGGUGUGAAAUCUCCCGGCUUAACUGGGAGGGUGCGCCGAAGACUGGAAGGCUUGAGUAUGGGAGAGGUAAGCGGAAUUCCUGGUGUAGCGGUGAAAUGCGUAGAUAUCAGGAGGAACACCUGCGGUGUAGACGGCUUACUGGACCAUCACUGACGCUCAUGCACGAAAGCGUGGGGAGCAAACAGG